UCCCUGUAGCUCAAAUGAUAGAGAAUCUGCCUGCAAUGCAGGAGACCCAGGUUCAAUCCCUGGGUUGGGAA
rnacentral:tRNA from 1 species